rnacentral:rRNA from 1 species
UACGGAGGGUGCAAGCGUUAUCCGGAUUCACUGGGUUUAAAGGGUGCGUAGGUGGGUCUGUAAGUCCGUGGUGAAAUCUCCGAGCCUAACUUGGAAACUGCCAUGGAUACUAUAGAUCUUGAAUACUGUGGAGGUCAGCGGAAUAUGUCAUGUAGCGGUGAAAUGCUUAGAUAUGACAUAGAACACCAAUUGCGAAGGCAGCUGGCUACACAAAUAUUGACACUGAGGCACGAAAGCGUGGGGAUCAAACAGG